UGCAGAGGUUCAUGCAGCGGCGGCGGCGGCGGCGGCUGCUGCUGCUGCCGCCGCGGAAACAGACAGACCGGUCGCUGCUGCCGCCACCCUCCCGCAGCUCCAUGCCGCCGCCGCCGCCUCCUCCUCUCCGGCGAAGGGCGGGGGGCUCCGGCCCGGGGUGGGCACCACUCCUCACAGCGCCGCUCCCCUCCCUGCCCUCCGCCGGGGCGCGGGAGCCGGCGAGAGCGCCCGCCGCCUCCUAGGAGCGCACGCUCCGCGCGCCCUUGCUGGAGCGAGGAGGCGGGCGUGGGCGGGCGUCGGGGCAGCCGCGACCCAGCGCGCGGAAAGGGGAGGGGGCUUCCCCGGAGGAUGCCCCGCGGCGGCGGCUCCUUGCUCUUAGGCGCUAGCUGAGCUGGACCGGGAGCGAGCGGCGCGUCGCCAUGCCGGCGUGACGGGCGCCCGCGGCUGCCCGCGCCGGGCCCCCGCGCUGCCCCACGCCGCGCCGCGCCGGCGCCGGGCGGCAGGAUGGGCUGUAUCCAAAGCAUCACCUGCAAGGCGCGGAUCCGGCGCGAGAACAUCGUGGUGUACGAUGUGUGCGCCACCAUCGACCAGUGCCCCACGCGCAUCGAGGAGACCUCGCCCAUCGUCCUGCGCUACAAGACCCCUUACUUCAAAGCCUCGGCCCGUGUGGUCAUGCCCCCCAUCCCCCGCCACGAGACCUGGGUGGUGGGCUGGAUCCAGGCUUGCAACCAGAUGGAGUUCUUCAACACCUACAGCGACCUGGGCAUGUCAAGCUGGGAACUGCCUGACUUGAGGGAAGGAAGAGUAAAAGCCAUCAGUGACUCAGAUGGGGUGAGCUACCCAUGGUACGGGAACACGACAGAAACUGUGACCCUGGUUGGCCCCACCAACAAGAUCUCCAGGUUUUCCGUCAGCAUGAAUGAUAACUUCUACCCCAGCGUGACAUGGGCAGUGCCAGUGAGUGACAGCAAUGUGCCACUGCUCACAAGAAUCAAGAGGGACCAAAGUUUUACCACCUGGCUGGUAGCCAUGAACACCACCACCAAGGAGAAGAUCAUUCUGCAGACCAUCAAGUGGAGGAUGCGAGUGGACAUUGAAGUGGACCCUCUUCAGCUGUUGGGGCAGCGGGCCCGGCUGGUGGGCAGGACUCAGCAGGAACAGCCCCGGAUCCUGAGCCGGAUGGAACCCAUCCCCCCUAACGCACUAGUGAAGCCCAAUGCCAACGAUGCCCAGGUCCUCAUGUGGAGGCCCAAGCGGGGGCCACCUCUGGUUGUAAUACCUCCUAAGUAAAAGCAGACUGCCCAACUGUGUGGAACACAUGCCACUGAGACCCGCAGUGGGGUGACCAGGGGUGGCAGGAGCCAAACUGAGUUUCUGAGCCAAAGCAGACCUCUUGGUGUGCCAGCCUUUGCAGCUACUUGUGACGAGUACAGCUGCUCCUUGGGCGGUAGAACCAUAACCCUUAGGAAAAGCCCCCUUCCUCUUAGGAAUAAAGAAACCACUGAUUUGAUAGACUUGCUCUGAUUACCGUGCAAGUAGCCAUAUUUUGGAGCUGACCAGGACGAUUCUUUUAUUUGAACUAUUGACCAUUUCUUUCCCGUGAGAUGCAGGGAAUGGAAAUGAAACUAAACAGUGCCUGUGGCAGAUGCUGCUUCCCAACCAAUUAGAAGCGAGAGUGAAAACAUCCACACCAGGUGUCUCCUAGUAGGACAAGGCUAGCCCACCCAGCAAGCAGAACCACAUGGCAAGACACUGAGGAGGAGGAUAUGAGCUAUGGCUGGUGGCUCAAGAAGCUGACGCCCUGGACAGCUGACUUCCUAUUAAACAAGAGUGCCAUCUUGCCAGUCUCUUCACCACCCCUCCUAUCCUGUGACCAGUACCUCCUAUCCCCAGCACGUGUGUCCAACCAGGCUAACUGGUUGGCUCAUGGGGGAGCUUUGUUAAAGUGGAAGUUGUGCCUGCUGCACCUUUUAUGUGUGGAAAGAUUGAGUUCAUCUAGACCUUCUGCUCAUCCCCUCCCUCCACAUGAAGCCUACCAAGGACAAGACUGCUCAUCCUGGACUGAAGAGACCCCACACACAGCCCAACCCUGACUCCCAAGCCUGCCACCCCACCCAACGUUAUGGGGUGUGAGAAUAUAUAUCUCCCCUUCUCAUCUCUCUUCUCUAUGUGGAUAGCCAAUGUCAAUCAUCCCCUGAGGUGUCUCUAAGGUCUUUGGAAGGCAACUGUUUGCCUUACCAUGGACAGGCUUGGUGACUUCAAGAUGACCAAGAGUAGCAUUUAUAUCACCAAGAUCAGUAGAAUGAGAGCAGAACUUCCCCAACAGGGCAAAAGUGCUGUAUGCUAUUCUACCAAUUGUUUUAUUUAUUGGUAUGCUCCCUUGUUUAUUCUUUUGUUUGUUUAAUUAUUUAUUUAUGGAACCUGUAUUUAUUAUAUAUCAGAAAAUCUUCCUCCAUCUUUCAAACAUCAGCUCCAAAUUUGUCUUCUCGGUCCCCUCACAGAGCACAGUAAAUGAUUCCUCUUUGAAGCCACAAAAAAAGAGAGAACUUCUUCUCCCUAGUCCCAAAUACUUCUACCCUAGCCAGAUUUUCAACCCAAAAUGAGAUCAGAAUCUACCAGCUAGUUUUAAGCUGUACAGCCACACAAACCAGCACAGGUUCCACUGUCCCGACAGAAACAGUCUUCCACGCCCCCCUGCUUUUGCGCUGUUUUGACUUCCAUUCCUUCACAAGCCCAUGCAAGACUAACCACCUAAUUCCAGCCUGACUGUACAGAGUGCUUGACACCAGACACACAUCAGAAUCUUUGUUGGGUGCUUAAAGCCACCUGCCUGAGUUCCACCUCAAUGUGUCCAUAGCAGAAUCUCUGAGGGGCUGAGCAACAGAGGUCUUCUUAGUUGCCCAGAUUAUUCUAACUUGUAAAUGCAGUUGAUAAAAAAAAAUUUCUACUGUCUUCUUCAUCCCCAACCACCUCCAACAUCCCUUCUUACUUUAGUUCCCAAACUUUCUCUGGACUCCUCAUUUCUUAGUCUCUUUUCCUCAUGUAACCUUCCCCCCCACCCCAAGCCCAUUGGCACCAUCAACAUGAACAGACUCCAAAGAGGUGACUGGUCCUAAGAGUCACACCAGAAGCCGAUGCCUGCACUUGACCCUCUUAGAAGCAAAUCUUGUUCCCUGCCCAGAGUCACUUUCCAUCUGCACACUCCUUAUCACACAUGCCUCCCUCCAAGAGGUUAAAGGUUAACACGGCUAUUCCUCUGUAUUCCAAUCUUAAGGAAAAGCUCAUUCCAGUCUUUCUAAGCCAAUGGUUGGAUGUUUCUGCAGAGCAACACGAAUUACCUGAGGUUAAUUUCCUGGUAACAGAAAGGGUUAUCUUGUCCCCCAAAUAGUCCCUUGCCCAGUGACCUGAUAGCAAUCCCCUGGCACACAAAUGAUAGCUGACUGAGAAGAGACUUCUCACCCCUCAUGUUGACAAGUUCUCAAACGAUGAAUAUAAGUGAAGGUGUGUGUGUCUGUGUCUGUGUCUGUGUCUGUGUCCACGUAUGUGUGUGUGUGUGUGUGUGUGUGUGUGUGUGUGUGUGUGUGUGUGUGUACUGCCUUCACAUAAACUACUAGAUGGACCUACAGAGAUGCUGAACUUCAACUUCACAGUUUUGACAUUUACUUGAGAACAAUCAAGAACUCGUGCUGUCUUUCACUCAGUGGAUUCACUUCACUCCUUUCCUCAAAGACCCAAGUGAAUUCCGUAGCAGCGCUUCAUGCAGAAUGAUAUAAUGUCUGAGAACUUUUGAGUGUGUUAGAGACUGUAUAUGUCAUAUGCACAAGAGAGUGCCCAGGAUAGAAAGAGUUCAUCUUCCUAUUCCACCUCCAGCAUCUAAACAGGUUCCCAGAGCAAGUAGAUUUCUCCUGCAUUCAUAGCACCAUGCCUUCUUGCCCCAUUAAUCAGACUGUCCUGCACCAAGUCCCAUCUCUCAGGGUCCCUGCUCUCUGAUAGGCAACAGUUCAGUCAGUGGGUGCUAAAGAGUUGAGCGUUACACUUCUUAGGUGACAUUUACCUUUUAAUUGGGGCUAUAGACAAUGCCUUAAUCUGAAGGAGUAGCUUGAAUGCUGGGAAUUUCAGGUGCAGAAGUGGGCCAGUAAGAGAGAUAGGUUUUUUUUCCUUAGGAGGGCAUUUUAGAGCCUCCCCUCCCCAGUACCCAUCUUUAAAGUGAGUUCAUAAGUACAUGAGCACAAGCAAGCACACUUACCUACAUUCACAUCCCAUAAUUUUGGAAUACCUCCCUUGCAUUGGCCCUAUCUUUAAACAUAAAAAUAAAUUAAAAAUGAACCAGCUAAAUUAAUUUAAACCUCACUGGGAAAUGCAGCCUAUUUUUUCACCGGCCACCAGCCAUCUGGUCUACCCCACCCUGCUCCAUUUCCUUCCUGCUCCUUCUCUUUUUGGCUACUGGCCUAUCAGUUAAUUUAUGUGUAUAUGUACUCUGCUCUUCCCUUGCUUCCCCCUAAAUGUAUUUCCCCCCUUGGAUUUGUGUUGUUUUUGGUGUUGUGAAGGACAGCAGUGGAGGCUAAGAGCAUGAGCAUGUGUGUGUGUCACUGAAGACAGAGAAGCCAGGUAUUCUGCUACAGUUUGAAGAAUAAUGCCACAAAGGAAGAAAUGAAAGCUGGCUCUGCAGAGUGCCUUAAAAAUGACUUUAAUUAGGAAAUUCUGAGUUGUCAGUCUUUGGAUGUUACAUAAACUCAAUGGAUGUUGCAUUUCACUUCUCUGGGAUUUAAAAAAAAGUUAAAUACAGUAUGUAUUCAACAAUGA